rnacentral:tRNA from 1 species
GGGUUUGUGGCUCAGUGGAAGAGCGCUUGCCUGGAAUGUGUGAGUCCCUGGGUUUGAUCCUCAGCACCA